rnacentral:snoRNA from 1 species
AAGACUAUAUUUUCAGGUUCAUUUCUAUAGUUUAUUCCUAGUUGCUUCUCAGUGGGUAGCUCACUGGAAGCCACAGGCAAGAAAUACAGCCUCCUCUCAGGUGUGUGGUGAAUUUGGCUCGUGGUGUCUUGGUAGAGCUGCCAUUGGCCGCUGAUGGUCAUUCAUUCAUUCUUCUCUUUCUCUUGGAGAUAGCAGUCUGAGUGC